rnacentral:rRNA from 1 species
GUGGGGAAUUUUGGACAAUGGGCGCAAGCCUGAUCCAGCAAUGCCGCGUGUGUGAAGAAGGCCUUCGGGUUGUAAAGCACUUUUGGCAGGAAAGAAAUAGUGCGUGCUAAUACCAUGCGCGAAUGACGGUACCUGCAGAAUAAGCACCGGCUAACUACGUGCCAGCAGCCGCGGUAAGACGUAGGGUGCAAGCGUUAAUCGGAAUUACUGGGCGUAAAGCGUGCGCAGGCGGUUUUGUAAGACAGGUGUGAAAUCCCCGGGCCCAACCUGGGAACUGCACUUGUGACUGCAAGGCUAGAGUGUGUCAGAGGGAGGUGGAAUUCCGCGUGUAGCAGUGAAAUGCGUAGAGAUGCGGAGGAACACCGAUGGCGAAGGCAGCCUCCUGGGAUAACACUGACGCUCAGGCACGAAAGCGUGGGGAGCAAACAGGAUUAGAAACCCCAGUAGUCC